UUGACCUCGGAUCAGGUAGGGAUACCCGCUGAACUUAAGCAUAUCAAUAAGCGGAGGAAAAGAAACCAACAGGGAUUGCCCUAGUAACGGCGAGUGAAGCGGCAACAGCUCAAAUUUGAAAGCUGGCCUUCGGGUCCGCAUUGUAAUUUGUAGAGGAUGCUUUGGGUGAAACGCCAGUCUAAGUUCCUUGGAACAGGACGUCAUAGAGGGUGAGAAU
rnacentral:rRNA from 1 species